ACUCCUACGGGAGGCAGCAGUGGGGAAUCUUGGACAAUGGGCGCAAGCCUGAUCCAGCCAUGCCGCGUGAGUGAUGAAGGCCCUAGGGUCGUAAAGCUCUUUCGCCAGGGAUGAUAAUGACAGUACCUAGGUAAAGAAACCCCGGCUAACUCCGUGCCAGCAGCCGCGGUAAUACGGAGGGGUUAGCGUUGUUCGGAAUUACUGGGCGUAAAGCGCGCGUAGGCGGAUUAGUCAGUUAGAGGUGAAAUCCCAGGGCUCAACCCUGGAACUGCCUUUAAUACUGCUAGUCUUGAGUUCGAGAGAGGUGAGUGGAAUUCCGAGUGUAGAGGUGAAAUUCGUAGAUAUUCGGAGGAACACCAGUGGCGAAGGCGGCUCACUGGCUCGAUACUGACGCUGAGGUGCGAAAGUGUGGGAGCAAACAGGAUUAGAUACCCUGGUAGCGACUGA
rnacentral:rRNA from 1 species